rnacentral:rRNA from 1 species
GUCGUAACAAGGUUUCCGUAGGUGAACCUGCGGAAGGAUCAUUACACAAAUCGAUGCAACUCAACCAAGCCUUUAGUUGGAGAGCAGCGCCUCGGUGCAGCUCCCCAGCAACACAAAACUAAAACCAAAAGGAGCCUAACUAAGCUCAAACACUAAGACCAAAUUCUCAACGAUGGAUGUCUUGGUUCCCAUAACGAUGAAGAACGCAGCGAAGUGCGAUAGGCAGUGCGAAUUGCAGAACCGUGAGUCAUCAGAUUUUUGAACGCAACUGGCACCGCACGGCCUUCGGCCGUCGGUACGCCUGGUCCAGUGUUUCGUUAUCUCAUGAACAAAAUCUUAAUGCGAGUGAUGCCCUUCUCUCGUCAAGAACGAAAGCACUCUGUGCUCUGCGAGCAGCCUUCGGGUUGCACUCAAUGCAGCAGUCACAUUGCUUACAGUGUGAACUCAUUGAGAGUGGACGCAGCGCGGCAACAGCUGCAAGUGCUUAGUCAUUUCAACUUAACAAUAGUAUCUGGGCUCAGGUGGGACUACCCGCUGAACUUAAGCAUAUCACUAAGCGGAGGAAAAGAAACUAACUAGGAUGGCCUUAGUAAGGGCGACUGAAGUGGCCAAAGCCCAAGAUGGUAAUCUCAGUGUUUCACACUGCGAGUUGUAAUCUUGAGAGGCUCAACUUAAUGGAUUGUGGCGCAGAAGUGAUCUGGAACGGUCCGCCAAAGAGGGUGACAGCCCCGUACGUGGUGCGGCGAUCUAACUAGUUGACUAUCUAAGAGUCGGGUUGUUUUGUAUUGCAGCCCUAAGUGGGAGAUAAACUUCUUCUAAGGCUAAAUAUAUAUGGGAAACCGAUAGCGAACAAGUACUGUGAAGGAAAGAUGAAAAGCACUUUGGAAAGAGAGUCAAAAGACCUGAAAUCGUUGAGACGGAAGCGGUAGAGAUGUAUACUUCGCUGCCACGCGGGGCUAACUUGUGUGGUUGCGUGAGGCCGGAUGGGGUGGCGUCGUCGCAGAGGCUUAGCAAGACCGCCUUCGGGCAUCCCUUGUUUCUGUCGGUGACGGUGCCGCCUGAGGGGCUUUGUGCGAUCCGGCCAAAAUGGUCUUUACCGACUCGUCUUGAAACACGAACCAAGGAGUCUAACGUACACGCGAGUAUGCCGGUGGAGAAACCGUCAUGCGUAAUGAAAGUGAUUGGUGCCAAGCGCAAGCAGCAGCAUCGACCGACCAUGAUCCUCUGGAGAAAGGUUUGAGUAUGAGCGUGUCCGCUAGGACCCGAAAGAUGGUGAACUAUGCGUGA